rnacentral:rRNA from 1 species
GAUGAACGCUGGCGGCGUGCCUAAUACAUGCAAGUCGAGCGAACAGACGAGGAGCUUGCUCCUCUGACGUUAGCGGCGGACGGGUGAGUAACACGUGGAUAACCUACCUAUAAGACUGGGAUAACUUCGGGAAACCGGAGCUAAUACCGGAUAAUAUAUUGAACCGCAUGGUUCAAUAGUGAAAGACGGUUUUGCUGUCACUUAUAGAUGGAUCCGCGCCGCAUUAGCUAGUUGGUAAGGUAACGGCUUACCAAGGCAACGAUGCGUAGCCGACGUGAGAGGGGGGGAGCCGACAUGGGAGGGGGAACAGGGACGGCGCCCCUGGGGGGGGGCGCAGAAGGGAAUCGCCGGCAACGGGGGAGGCUCGGGCGGAACAGCCCGGAGUGAGAGAAAAAGGUUUUGGGAGCGAAAAAAGUGUUUAUGGGGAAAAAAAAAAUGUGGAAGAAAAUGGACCCUUUGUGACGGUACCUAAUAAAAAAGCACCGGCUAACUACGUG